CAGCUUCUGCGUGGUGUGAAACCUGGUUCCCUCCUCUUACCUCUCCACUGGGCACGGGCUUGCUUGCAGCCACACCAGGAGCCCUCUGCCUGCUCGGUCUCAGCUCAGCAGCUCUCGGCAGCAAGCACCACCCAUGGUCAAGCCCUGUCCUGUGGGAAUCACUGCCAGAGUCAGAGAGGACAUCAUCUAGAAGAACACCUUAUUCUCAGUUGUAGAUCUUCUCUUGACCAGACCAUACUCAGAUUUGGCAAUAGUGGUCCCGUGAGGCUGGAGUGUUGGCAGGUCAAAUCCUCAUCACCCUGAGCACCUGUGUUAUUCUGGGGUCCUAGGACCGGCUCCUCUCAUUUUCACUGCUGCAAGGGAAGGACUGGGCACUUCAUUUGCAGUCCAACUGCAGAGCCUUGGCAGUCUUCCAGAGCUGAGAUU